UGGGGAAUUUUGGACAAUGGGGGCAACCCUGAUCCAGCAAUGCCGCGUGAGUGAAGAAGGCCUUCGGGUUGUAAAGCUCUUUUGUCAGGGAAGAAACACCGGCUCUAACACAGUCCGGGAAUGACGGUACCUGAAGAAUAAGCACCGGCUAACUACGUGCCAGCAGCCGCGGUAAUACGUAGGGUGCAAGCGUUAAUCGGAAUUACUGGGCGUAAAGCGUGCGCAGGCGGUUAUACAAGACAGGCGUGAAAUCCCCGGGCUUAACCUGGGAAUGGCGCCUGUGACUGUAUAGCUAGAGUGUGUCAGAGGGGGGUAGAAUUCCACGUGUAGCAGUGAAAUGCGUAGAUAUGUGGAGGAAUACCAAUGGCGAAGGCAGCCCCCUGGGAUAACACUGACGCUCAUGCACGAAAGCGUGGGGGGCAAACAGGAUUAGAUACCCUGGUAGUCCACGCCCUAAACGAUGCUGACUAGUUGUUCGGGAUUUACAUCCUGAGUAACGUAGCUAACGCGUGAAGUCAGCCGCCUGGGGAGUACGGUCGCAAGAUUA
rnacentral:rRNA from 1 species